GACGAACGCUGGCGGCGUGCUUAACACAUGCAAGUCGAACGGACGAGUGAGAUAAGUUUACUUAACUCACAAGUUAGUGGCGGACGGGUGAGUAACACGUGGAUAAUCUACCUGCAACACCGGGAUAACGCUGUGAAAACGGUGCUAAUACCGGAUACGUUCCCUUAUGCGCAUGUAUGAGGGAAGAAAGCUCAGGCGGUUGCAGAUGAGUCCGCGGCUGAUUAGCUAGUUGGUGAGGUAAAGGCUCACCAAGGCGAUGAUCAGUAGCCGGCCUGAGAGGGUGAACGGCCACACUGGGACUGAGACACGGCCCAGACUCCUACGGGAGGCAGCAGUGGGGAAUCUUCCGCAAUGGGCGCAAGCCUGACGGAGCAACGCCGCGUGGGUGAAGAAGGCCUUCGGGUUGUAAAGCCCUGUCUUAUGGGAAGAAGUCAGUGACGGUACCAUAGGAGGAAGCCACGGCUAACUACGUG
rnacentral:rRNA from 1 species